rnacentral:rRNA from 1 species
AGAUUAGAACGCUGGCGGCAUGCCUAACACAUGCAAGUCGAGCGGCAGCGGCGGGGGCAACCCUGGCGGCGAGCGGCGGACGGGUGAGUAAGGCAUCGGAAUCUGCCCUGAUGGUGGGGGAUAACGUAGGGAAACUUACGCUAAUACCGCAUACGACCGAGAGGUGAAAGGCGGGGGAACCGAAAGGCCUCGCGCAGCAGGAUGAGCCGAUGUCCGAUUACGCUGGUUGGUGGGGUAAAACGGCCUACCGAAGGCGACGAUCGGUAGCUGGUCUGAGAGGAUGAUCAGCCACACUGGGACUGAGACACGGCCC